UUAGUAAUCGUUUACAAAAGUUAUCAUCAUCAUACAAGAGGCAUUGUUUCUAGUAAUCUCCUCAGUUUCCUAAUUUCAUCCUGUUUCAUUCGUGGGAGCCAGCAUUAUAUUAUUUUAAAUGCUACUGUAGUAACUUGACGCCGCUAUUUUGUAAUCACAUAUAAGGGUCAAAGGUUCUAGUAACCAUUUACAAAAGAUUAUCAUAAUCACAUAUAAGGGGCUAGAUUCUAGUAACUCAUUCAUAAAAACUCUC
rnacentral:lncRNA from 1 species